GCGACCAAAAGGAAGUGCAGGCUCUCCAUAGAUAUCUAUCCACUAGGAAGAAUCCCAAACCGAUUCCUAAUUCAUUUUCAGGUAUAUAUUUUAUAGUGCACAAUAAUAUAUUCCCAAUAUCUUUAUGGCAUUUAGACAAACCCACGCGGAGGAAGUGACAUUUCGGGUAUUUCUUUCCACACCCUUUGUUUACGUGAGCUUGGUUAUAAACCUUGAGUAUAAAUGAUUUAUGAAGCAGCUGCACAGUCACUGACUUUAACUUCAAGCUCCACAGGAAGAAAAGCUGCUACCAAGACGGUUUGGGCAAAACCUGAUGAUCCAUUUGGACCAAAUACAUCAGAUGCUUCAAAAGAGAAGAUUAGGCAUGACUAAAAUCUGAUAUUGAUACAAAGCCAUAUACACGGUCAAUAUCACGAAUUCGCUUGCGUUGAAAUAGUAGGCUAAUGCUAACAUGUCACUACCCGUCAAAGUUAUCGUGGUUGGAGCAGGGAGCCGUGGUGAAACAUACUCCGACUUUGCCUCCAUCCAUCCUGAUCGGCUGAAAGUAGUUGGAAUUGCUGACCCAAGACUUUUUGCACGAAAGAAGCUCCAGGAGCGUCACAAAGUGCUUGAAGAAAAUGUAUUUGAUGAUUGGCACUGUGUAGCAGAAAGGGAGAAGUUUGCAGAUGCCGUAUUUAUCUGCACUCCUGAUCGCCUUCAUAAGGAACCUGCCGUUGUUUUGGCGAGGAAGGGUUAUCAUAUACUCUUGGAGAAACCAAUGGCAGUGACUCUAGAGGACUGCACAGAGAUCGCAGAGACUUGCAGUCAAAGUGGUGUAAUGCUAACAGUGUGCCAUGUUCUCCGAUACGACCCAUUCAUCAGAAAAAUCAAAAUGCUCAUUGACAGUGGAGCCAUUGGGGAUGUCAUUCAUAUUCAACACUUUGAACCAGUUGGCUUUUAUCACUUUGCUCACUCAUUUGUGAGAGGAAAUUGGAGAAAUGAGGCAGAAAGCUCUUUUGCUCUUUUAGCCAAAUCCUGCCAUGACCUGGACUUGAUUCAUCACUGGGCUGGAGGACGCAGGUGUAUAAAAGUUUCAUCAUUUGGAUCCCUCAGCCAUUUCCGAAAAGAAAACAAGCCAUCAGGAGCAGCGAGUCGGUGCUUAGAUUGUUCUGUAGAGACAGACUGUGCGUAUUCAGCGAAGAAAAUCUAUUUGGACCGAGUUAGAAAGGGAUGGGUGACAUGGCCAGUGUCAGUUGUAUGCGGCAGUUCAGUUCCUGAUAUUGAGUCAGUAACCGAGGCUUUGAAAUCAGGUCCAUACGGUCGCUGUGUUUAUGAGUGUGACAACGAUGUGUGCUCAAAUCAGGUUGUUAACAUGGAAUUUGAAGGAGGCCUCACUGCUACGUUUAGCAUGGUGGCAUUUACGGAAGAGGUGUGUCUGCGCAAAACAAGCAUCCAUGGCAGCAAGGGGGAGCUGACUUACAACGGCCACGAGGUCAAAGUAUUCGACUUUCUCACUCAGGUAUCCACAAAGCACACUGUGGACGUCAAUGUACCGGGGAACUUCAGCAAAGGUGGUCAUGGUGUUGCAGAUUAUCAUCUCGUUGACACCUUUAUUUCAGCCGUAGCGAAAUGAUAUCAUACUGGAUCAAGCACAUUAAUAUAAACCUGGGAUUGGCCAUGAGGCACGAUUUGCUUCAGAGAUCCUAGUUAAUCAGCAGCAAAAUGAACGGAGACCCAAUGCUGGUCCAGUCCGGUCCGAAGGAAACACUGGCGAGUCACAGGCUGGUUUUCGAGGCUGAGCGUUCUCGUCUAGAGAACAGAGUCGUGAUGUGUGUGACCGAUCAAGACUAGUUGAUGAAGGCUAAAACAUUUUAUGACUACAUAAAUGCUAGAAAACUAACAUUAAUUGUAAGAUGGUAUUUGUGACCAGUAGCCAAGGCAUGCAAAAUUGACCUUGCUGUUUAGGUGAAAACAAUGUCUCACACUUGUCAACCCCAGUAUAACUAUCUAAUCAUUAGUAUCUGUGAAUGUGUGCGUGCAGAUUUCCUUUGUCCUGUCACACGGCAUGAGCAGCAGUCCAAACUAAUUUUGUGGCUGUUUCAUGUGUCCUCGAGGAAGCACAUGAAGGUGUCUCACCCGGUUUGGUGUCUGUUGUACAGUAUGAUUGGUAAAAUCUAACAGGUCUGAGAAUUAGCAAAACCAAAAGGAUAAAACUGUCUGUUUUGGGUUGUGAGACAGCUACAACAGUUUAAAAGAUGAUUUUAAAACUGUAUGUAUUGCUUCAUUUAUUUUUAAUCAAGCUGUUUAAAAGGUAAGCACAGACUUUUAUUUUUUCUAUUAGUAGAACAAAUAUACGCUUAUAAAACAAUUCUGUACACAAGUACUGUAUGUUUAUUCAUGCUAUACAUGUUGCUAAAAAAUAAGUGUGCCAGUAAUGCUGUUUUGUCUUUACAUGAACAAAUACAUGAAAACAGUCUUGAAUGAUUACACUGUCUUGCUUGAUCUGUUUAUCUUGGACAAGCAUGGAUUGUUUCGGGUCAAACAUUAGACUUGUGAUUAAGGCAGGAUGAUCAUGCUGUGCUGAUAUGUACCAUGCUGGCUGUAGAGACUUUGACCUUGGACGAGAUGUCUUCUCCUGUUAGUGUGUCAAAGGUAAUAUUGAUUUGUUUAAGGUUUAUUUAAAUGCAUUAUUCUUGUGGGUAGUUCCUUGGUUACAUGUUGUGGAGGCAGGGCUGGACUUUGACCCAGUGGUUGGGGAGCCAUUUCUGUGAGAUUGUAGUCAUAAUCUAAAUCCUGUAGAUGGCAGAAUAAACACAACACUAGGGUAAACAGAGGUAUGUCCUCUAGUCUAGUACACCAAGUAAUUGUACAAAGGAUUAGUGACCUGAACAACAGCCAAUAAAUUCUGUGAUGUCAAUCAUAGUUUACCUCGGAAUGAACUCAUGUGUAGUGAGCAGUUCAUUUCGUUCACUGGUCCACCAGCUUCCUCGAUCGGGUUCUGGGAGUAUUACAAGUUAGAUACCUCACAGACCAAUUGUCUAUCUCUGUAAAAGCAGUCAUUAAUGUCCAUUCCAUAGACUUCAGGUGUGUCUCUAAAGGUUGGACAAUACUCGAGUAACUGUUUGAAUACUUACAGAUUAUUUUAGUGUAUUUACUUCAUUUGUUAAUUGAUUAUUAUUGAAAUAGAAAGCUAGUGUUCGUAUCUCAACAUUCAACACUUUCAUUUUUAUUUAGAAAAUAUUUAAAACAAAAUAUUUAAAACAAUACACUUCUUCUCACAUCCAGUAUGUUGUAUAUCAACUCAAUUUGCUCAGUUUAGCAUCCAAUCAGCUGCAGAAAUGUAGAAAAAACUAUCAUGAUUUAUGCCAAUUAGCCUUUGGCCGUAAUCUCAUGCUACGCAGUGUGGUUAGUGCCAUGGAUGUGUGUUUUUGAAUAUGUAAACACCAGUGGACUGCUUUGUGGAACUUUAGGUUGAACAUCCUUGACCCUACCUCGGUAUUUUACUAUGCUGGAUUAGGCAAAAACCUGUAUAAAAGGAGGCAUCUUCUUUUCAUCCCUGAUAGUCUAUACUAUGAUAUAUUGUUAAUAUUAACCGGCAAAUUUAAUAAAAUUGGUCUGUUGAUUGA